rnacentral:rRNA from 1 species
UACGUAGGGGCCUAGCGUUGUCCGGAUUUAUUGGGCGUAAAGAGCUCGUAGGCGGUUUGGUGAGUCGGGUGUGAAAUCUCCACGCUCAACGUGGAGGGGCCACCCGAUACUGCCAUACUAGAGUCCGGUAGGGGAGUGUGGAAUUCCCGGUGUAGCGGUGAAAUGCGCAGAUAUCAGGAGGAACACCGAUGGCGAAGGCAGUUCUCUGGGCCGUAACUGACGCUGAGGAGCGAAAGCGUGGGGAGCGAACAGG